CCCGCUCAGAAACUUAAAGGAAUGACGGGGGCCCGCACAAGCGGUGGGAGCAUGUGGUUUAAUUCGACGCAACGCGAAGAACCUUACCAGCCCUUGACAUCCCGGUCGCGGAUCCAGAGACGGAAUCCUUCAGUUCGGCUGGACCGGAGACAGGUGCUGCAUGGCUGUCGUCAGCUCGUGUCGUGAGAUGUUGGGUUAAGUCCCGCAACGAGCGCAACCCCCGUCCUUAGUUGCUACCAUUUAGUUGAGCACUCUAAGGAGACUGCUGGUGAUAAGCCGCGAGGAAGGUGGGGAUGACGUCAAGUCCUCAUGGCCCUUACGGGCUGGGCUACACACGUGCUACAAUGGCGGUGACAAUGGGACGCUAAGGGGCAACCCUUCGCAAAUCUCAAAAAGCCGUCUCAGUUCGGAUUGGGCUCUGCAACUCGAGCCCAUGAAGUUGGAAUCGCUAGUAAUCGUGGAUCAGCAUGCCACGGUGAAUACGUUCCCGGGCCUU
rnacentral:rRNA from 1 species